rnacentral:rRNA from 1 species
UACGUAGGGGGCAAGCGUUAUCCGGAUUUACUGGGUGUAAAGGGAGCGUAGACGGCGAUGCAAGUCUGAAGUGAAAGGCGGGGGCCCAACCCCCGGACUGCUUUGGAAACUGUAUGGCUGGAGUGCAGGAGAGGUAAGUGGAAUUCCUAGUGUAGCGGUGGAAUGCGUAGAUAUUAGGAGGAACAUCAGUGGCGAAGGCGACUUUCUGGACUGUAACUGACGCUGAGGCACGAAAGUGUGGGGAGCAAACAGG